ACUCAAAUGAAUUGACGGGGACCCGCACAAGCGGUGGAGCGUGUUCUUUAAUUCGAAGGUAAGCGAAGAACCUUACCAGGGUUUGACAUCCCGGUGCAAUCUACGAAAGUAGACUUCAUUUAGUUGGUCGGUGACAGGUGAUGCAUGGCCGUCGUCAGCUCGUGUCGUGAGAUGUUUGGUUAAGUCCAUCAACGAGCGCAACCCUUGUAUCCAGUUGGAUUUUUCUGGAUAAACUGCCCCGGUAACGGGGAGGAAGGAGGGGAUGAUGUCAGGUCAGUAUUUCCCUUACAUCCUGGGCUAGAAACACGCUACAAUGGCCAGUACAAAGGGCAGCCAAGGCGCGAGCCGGAGCAAAUCCCAUCAAAGCUGGUCUCAGUUCGGAUAGCAGGCUGAAACUCGCCUGCUUGAAGUCGGAAUCGCUAGUAACGGUGAGUCAGCACAUCACCGUGAAUACGUUCCCGGGUCUUGUACACACCGCCCGU
rnacentral:rRNA from 1 species